AUACAUUUAGUAUAAAAAAUAUAUUAAGUUUAGAGUUUAAAGAUAAAAAAUGUAUU
rnacentral:tRNA from 1 species